rnacentral:rRNA from 1 species
CAAUAGCGUAUAUUAAAGUUGUUGCGGUUAAAAAGCUCGUAGUUGGAUCUCGGCAGGCAGGGGGUGGUUCGCUCUUAGCGCUACUGCCCCAUUUGCCUGUGUGAUUGGCGGAGGUUUCGGGGUGCUCUUCGUUGAGUGACCCGGGGCGCCGUCAGGUUUACUUUGAAAAAAUUAGAGUGCUCAAAGCAGGCCUUUCACGCUUGAAUAUUCGUGCAUGGAAUAAUGGAAUAGGAACUCGUUUCUAUUUUGUUGGUUUUCGGAAAUCGAGUUAAUGAUUAAUAGGGACAAUUGGGGGCAUUAGUAUUCAGACGACAGAGGUGAAAUUCUUGGACCGUCUGAAGACUAACUACUGCGAAAGCAUUUGCCAAGAGUGUUUUCAUUAA